GGGCCCGCACAAGCGGUGGAGCAUGUGGUUUAAUUCGACGCAACGCGCAGAACCUUACCAGGGUUUGACAUCCUGUGCUCGACUCCGAAAGGGGUUUUCCCCGCAAGGGGCGCAGAGACAGGUGCUGCAUGGCUGUCGUCAGCUCGUGUCGUGAGAUGUUGGGUUAAGUCCCGCAACGAGCGCAACCCUCGCCUUUAGUUGCCAUCAUUCAGUUGGGCACUCUAGAGGGACCGCCGGCGACAAGCCGGAGGAAGGUGGGGAUGACGUCAAGUCCUCAUGGCCCUUACACCCUGGGCUACACACGUGCUACAAUGGCGGUGACAGUGGGCAGCUACUUCGCGAGAAGCGGCUAAUCCCAAAAAACCGUCCCAGUUCAGAUUGCACUCUGCAACUCGAGUGCAUGAAGGUGGAAUCGCUAGUAAUCGCAGAACAGCAGGCUGCGGUGAAUACGUUCCCGGGCCUU
rnacentral:rRNA from 1 species